rnacentral:rRNA from 1 species
GAUGAACGCUGGCGGCGUGCCUAAUACAUGCAAGUCGAGCGAACAGACGAGGAGCUUGCUCCUCUGACGUUAACGGCGGACGGGUGAGUAACACGUGGAUAACCUACCUAUAAGACUGGGAUAACUUCGGGAAACCGGAGCUAAUACCGGAUAAUAUAUUGAACCGCAUGGUUCAAUAGUGAAAGACGGUUUUGCUGUCACUUAUAGAUGGAUCCGCGCCGCAUUAGCUAGUUGGUAAGGUAACGGCUUACCAAGGCAACGAUGCGUAGCCGACCUGAGAGGGUGAUCGGCAACACUGGAACUGAGAAACGGUCCAGACUCCUACGGGAGGAAGCAGUAGGGAAUCUUCCGCAAUGGGCGAAAGCUUGACGGAGCAACGCCGCGUGAGUGAUGAAGGUCUUCGGAUCGUAAAACUCGGUUAUUAGGGAAGAACAAAUGUGUAAGUAACUAUGCACGCCUUGACGGUACCUAAUCAGAAAGCCACGGCUAACUACGUG